rnacentral:rRNA from 1 species
GGGGGGGGAGCGAGCGUUGUUCGGAAUUACUGGGCGUAAAGGGCGCGUAGGCGGCUGGGUCAGUCGCGUGUGAAAGGGCCGGGGGCUCAACCCCGAGCAUUGCACGUGAUACUGCCCUGGCUCGAGAGAGGUAGGGGCGAGUGGAAUUCCCGGUGUAGCGGUGGAAUGCGUAGAUAUCGGGAAGAACACCUGUGGCGAAGGCGGCUCGCUGGACCUUUUCUGACGCUGAAGCGCGAAAGCGUGGGGAGCAAACAGGAUUAGAUACCCUGGUAGUCCACGCCGUAAACGAUGGGUACUAGGUGUUGGGAGGAUUGACCCUUUCAGUGCCGGCGCUAACGCAUUAAGUACCCCGCCUGGGGAGUACGGUCGCAAAGGCUG